ACUACGGGAGGCAGCAGUGGGGAAUAUUGGGCAAUGGGCGCAAGCCUGACCCAGCAACGCCGCGUGCAGGAAGAAGGCUUUCGGGUUGUAAACUUCUUUUGUCAGGGACGAAGCAAGUGACGGUACCUGACGAAUAAGCCACGGCUAACUACGUGCCAGCAGCCGCGGUAAUCCGUCGGUGGCAAGCGUUAUCCGGAUUUACUGGGUGUAAAGGGCGUGUAGGCGGGGAAGCAAGUCAGAUGUGAAUACCACGGGCUCAACCUGUGGCCUGCAUUUGAACCUGUUUUUCUUGAGUGCUGGAGAGGCAAUCGGAAUUCCGUGGGUAGCGGUGAAAUGCGUAGAUAUACGGAGGAACACCAGUGGCGAAGGCGGAUUGCUGGACAGUAACUGACGCUGAGGCGCGAAAGCGUGGGGAGCAAACAGGAUUAGAUACCCUAGUAGUC
rnacentral:rRNA from 1 species